rnacentral:rRNA from 1 species
UACGAACUGUGCAACCGUUAUUCGGAAUCACUGGGCUUAAAGGGUGCGUAGGCGGCUAUCUAAGCAGGGUGUGAAAGCCCCCGGCUCAACCGGGGAAUUGCGUUCUGAACUGGAUGGCUGGAGUGAGAUAGGGGUGUGUGGAACUUCCAGUGGAGCGGUGAAAUGUGUUGAUAUUGGAAGGAACGCCGGUGGCGAAAGCGACACACUGGGUCUCAACUGACGCUGAGGCACGAAAGCCAGGGGAGCGAACGGG